AACCAUUCGACUGACAGUAUUUACAUACGAAGAUCGUUCACGAAAUAAUUCUGCGCGGUCGUUCGACCAAAAGAUUACCAAAUACUUUACACGGUACAUCAAUUCCAUAAAAAAAGAAAUAAAUGAAUUAAUUAUGUUUUAAAUCAUUAC